ensembl:ncRNA lncRNA:CR43900 long non-coding RNA:CR43900
ACAAAGUUUUGAGUCGUCGACCGUUGCGGACGGAAAUUCAGAUUAGGAUCUGUGUUAAUUUAGUAAAAUAUAAAGUUAACCGCGCGUUCCGUAAUUCCACUCACACACAUACCAACACCCAAGCAGCAGCAGUAGCCGCAGCGGAUUAAAACUUCGUCACUCUAGCAACAAACAGAAAAAAAAAACACCUACAAAAAUGUUUUUGCGAAAAAUCAAAGUCAGACAGCGACCCCCAGGGCUAUUGCCAUUAGUGCGAGCGGGAGGAGCGAAUCGCUUCCAAUUAGACGUUGUUUAUAUGGUUUUAACGGCUUUUCACACACACACACUCGCUACACACAUCCCAGCACACCAAACACCCCGUCGAAAAGCAGCUGUCCCCGGGAAAUUCGUUUACAUUUUGCACCCCAAAAAUAUAUCGCCUCACGGGUAGAAAAAACCAGUUUUUUCAACAACCCAAUAUCGUUGAUUUAGAAACAAGAAAUUGCGAACACCAUGCAACCCCUUGAAAAUAUGGUAGUUUAUACCCCUUUCACAAUGAAACAUAAUCAAAAUCCAUAAAACUGCAUUGAGAAAAAGUGAAUGCAAUCAUUUGAAAUUAAGUUUAUACUUAAACUAGUAUAUUUAAGCUGCAAGAUUUUCAUGUUCUUAACCUGACUUAAUCAAAUGUUCAACUUUGGCCCCUAGGGUCACAGAAAACAAGCAGCACAAUUAAAUAGCAAUGCCAAUAGCAAGAAUUU